AGCAGGCAUGUUCCCAGUGGAACAGCCAUCUCUGGUCUUCCUGGGGGAGAUCCCUUACUACACCGUGUGGCACCCCGUGGGCUGUUUCUCCCCUUCCUCUCUCCUCCCCUGGCCCAGGCCACCCCAGGAAGUAAUUUGCUCCAACACUGCCUUGGGGUAAAGGAAAGAUCUGAAGGAUCUGGCUUCCUUGCGUGACCCCAGUCUGUGACACCCGCUGGACUCCGAACUGACCCCACCUCCUGGAGCUGAGAGCACUCCUUUUGGCUGACAGGAAGCAACCAGAAAAAGAGCCAGAUAGUGAGUGAGCAGAUGAGGAAAUCAGAAACCUGCACCUGCCAAUCCAGGAAUUCGUCCAACACACCUCAUAGAAGUGACACCUGGCUACCCAGAGCCGAUCAACUUAAACGGCUGGUUUUUGUCAUCGGACUUUGGAAAAGAACAUAAAAAAGAAGUGGCAUUUUAUAAACA